rnacentral:rRNA from 1 species
UACGUAGGGGGCUAGCGUUGUCCGGAAUCAUUGGGCGUAAAGCGCGUGUAGGCGGUUCGGUAAGUCCGCUGUGAAAGUCGGGGGCUCAACCCUCGGAUGCCGGUGGAGUACUGUCGAGCUUGAGUACGGAAGAGGCGAGUGGAAUUCCUGGUGUAGCGGUGAAAUGCGCAGAUAUCAGGAGGAACACCAAUUGCGAAGGCAGCUCGCUGGGACGUUACUGACGCUGAGACGCGAAAGCGUGGGGAGCAAACAGG